GAAUGGCUGUGUAACUGAAGAGCCCCCGUGAAAAGUGAAGAUGGGGUUCACAGAUCAGUAGGAACUUCAAUAAGGAAAUGGCAGAGCACUGAAACCUCCCAGGAUACCUUUGAAGCCAGCCAUCGGAGGAAACCCUCUAUUCUUUUGGGAAGAAUUAGGUGCCGUGUCGAUGACUCCUUUAGAAAACAAUCACCCAAAAUCCCAAAUUAAGAUCCCCCCUGAGUGUGGCAAAUGCAGUCACACGGGCAUAUGGUGCUUCAGAGAAUCCAAGAGAAUGGAUUUCCAAGCAAGAUACAUUUCAGGUUCGGCACACCGGCAAGUUGAACAAACUCACAGAGACGCAUACCGAUUUUAGGAGGAAAAG